AUUCAACGCUGGCGGCAGGCUUAACACAUGCAAGUAGAACGAAUGGCGGACGGGAGAGUAAUGCUUGGGAAUCUGGCUCAUGGAGGGGGCUAAAUACGGGAAACUGUAGCUAAUACAGCGUACCAUAGGAUGCGCCCAAGUGGGAAUAGGUAGUUGGUGAGGUAAAGGCGCACCAAGCCGACGACCGCUAGCUGGUCUGAGAGGAUGAGCGGCCAGACUGGGACUGUGAGACAGCGAAGACGCCUACGGGAGGCAGCAUGGGGGAAUAGAGCGUAAUGGGGGCAACCUGCUGCAGCCAUGCCGCGUGAAUGAAGAAGGCCGUCGGGUUGUAAAGUCCUUUCGGUAGCGAGGCGUUAACGAGUGAAGAAGCACGGGCUAACCCCAUGCCAGCAGCCGCGGUAAUAC
rnacentral:rRNA from 1 species